rnacentral:tRNA from 1 species
GCUGGAAUGGCCGAGUCGUUAAGGCGAUAGAUUUGAAUGAAUCAAUAGAUUCCGUGUUCCUCAUCUAUUACUCUCUGAGUGCGUAGGUUCAAAUCCUGCUUCCAGCG